rnacentral:rRNA from 1 species
UAUGUUUAACGGCCGCGGUAUUUUAACCGUGCGAAGGUAGCGCAAUCACUUGUCUCUUAAAUGGGGACCUGUAUGAAUGGCAUAACGAGGGCUUAACUGUCUCCUUUUUCAAGUCAAUGAAAUUGAUCUCCCCGUGCAGAAGCGGGGAUAAUACCAUAAGACGAGAAGACCCUAUGGAGCUUUAGACACCAAGGCAGAUCAUGUUAAACACCCCUAAAUAAAGGGCUAAACCAAAAGAAGCCUGCCCUAAUGUCUUCGGUUGGGGCGACCGCGGGGAAACAAAAAUCCCCCACGUGGAACGGGAGAUUCCCUAUUUUUCACCUCCUAAAACUAAGAGCCCCCGCUCUAGUAAACAGAAUUUCUGACCAAUAAUGAUCCGGCAAUGCCGAUCAACGGACCAAGUUACCCUAGGGAUAACAGCGCAAUCCUCUUUUAGAGCCCAUAUCGACAAGAGGGUUUACGACCUCGAUGUUGGAUCAGGACAUCCUAAUGGUGCAGCCGCUAUUAAGGGUUCGUUU